GACGGGGGGAACAAGCAUUAUUCAUCUUAAUUGGGCGUAAAGAGUUUGUAGGUUGUUUUAAAGUUGAAAAAAAAAUCCAAAAAUAAAUUUUUGUACUUUUUCAAAACUAAUAAACUUGAGUAGAUAAUAGAGGGUAAUGGAAUUUUUAGAGAAGGGUUAAAAUACGUUGAUUCUAAAAGGAAGGCCAAAAGUGAAAACAAUUAUCUAGGUAUCUACUGACAUUGAGAAACGAAGGCUUGGGGAGCAAACGGG
rnacentral:rRNA from 1 species